rnacentral:lncRNA from 1 species
UUAAAAGUAUAAUAUUAUAUAUAUAUAAAAUAAAUUUUAAUAGGAAAAUAAUUACAUACAAAAUAUAAAUAUUAUAUAAAAUAUAUUAUAAGGGUUAAAACUAUCAUUUGGUCCAAAAGCACUUUUGUCAAUAGCAAAAGCUAAAAAAAAAAACUGCUUUUGCUUUUAAAUUUAAAAUCACUUUUCAAAAUUAUGUUGCUAUCUUCAAAUGUUGACACCAAAAUAAAUAAAAGUCUGCUACCCUAGCACGUUCUUGUCUGCCGCCGCUGGUAGAAGUCUUUGUUUUCUUGUUCUCGUGAAUUUUUUGUUAUUUGAUUUCUGUGUAUCCCACUUAUCUUGUCUAUCGCUUCAGGAAGUGGAUUCAUAACAGUGGCCUAGAAAAGAUGGAGAAUGAAUUAGCCCACUUGUCAAUCAAUGAGGAAGAAGAGGAUGCUAUUCUCAUACCAAUAGAUCCAAAUCUGGAAAUAGAGGGUGAGAUUUUUCAACUUGUAGGAUGUUUUCUCACAGCUAGUGGCAUCCGGUUCGGGAUGUUCGAAUUUGAGAUCUGGGGAAAAAAGUUUUUGUUUCAAUCUUUCAUGCUAUGGAUAUGGACAGGGUGUUAAAGGGUUCCCCUUGGACCUUUAACAAUCAUUUGUUGAUACUUUACAAAUUGUAAGUUGGAGAGGAUCCGUUACAGGUCCCUCUAGUUUUGACACCUUUCUGGGUUUAUAUCCAUGAUGUGCCAAUUGGCCUAUAUUCCGAAAAUUUAGCUACGCAGCUGAGGAAUUUUUUGGGGAACUUUCUGGAAUAUGACGUCUUAUACUUAGGGAAAGAAAACAGGAACUUUAUGCGAAUCAGGGUCAAAAUUGAUGUAAGGCACCCUUUGAAAAGGAGGAAACAAAUUUUAUUUGGGGAGAGACGUUCAUACAUUACUUUUAAGUAUGAAAGACUAUCACUUUUUUGGUUUUUCUAUGAAAGACUGGGUCAUAGUGAUUCAUUCUGUGAAACAAAAAUGAAUAUUGGAGUAGAAAUGGCAGAUUUGGGAUGGGAUUUAUUUAUCAGAACACAAUCUCGAAGGUCACUAUCCAUAAAAAGUAUUUGGUUACGGGAUGAAACAGAUGAUGAUAGGGGAGGACUUGGUGAAGAAAAUAAAGAGGUCCGAAUGGGGCAACAGAAGACAGGUAGAAAAUUAAGAUUUGGGAAGCCUGUUGAUCUAAUUCUUGGUCUCAAUCUGGAAGGAGGCUUAGGUUGCGUAGGCCAAAGAAAGGAAAAUUGUGCGAAUAUCAUGAUUUGGUGGAAGUUGCUCUUAUGAGGGAGGAGAGAAAGAAGAGAUCUAUAGGGGAAAUUAAAGAUUGUGCAGGAAGAUAAGAGAAGGGCAAUAUGAUGACAAGAAGUAGUAGAGUGGUGGAAUUCAAUUAUUUAACAUCGGCGACUGCCAAAUAGCAAGUCGACUAGGCGCAAUGAAAAUAUUAAGUUGGAAUGUCCGUGGAUUGGGGAAUCCACGGAUAGUUCGAAGACUUCAGCAUUCGCUGAAGAAUUAUAAUCCCCAAAUUAUCUUCUUCAUGGAGACCAAGCUUUGUAGAAAUCAGAUGGAAAGAAUUCGUCGUAUAUGUGGUUUUGCGAAUGGUAUUGAUGUGGAUUUAGAGGGUACUAGAGGAGGGUUGUGUCUGGCAUGGCGAAAUGAUAUUAAUGUUACGCUCUAGAAUUUCUCUAAAAGACAUAUUGAUGUGAUGGUGGUUGAUGAUGAAAGAGAUGCUACAUGGCGGCUUACUGGAUUUUAUGGAACACCAUAUGCGUGCGAUAGAGAAGACUUAUGGGCAGUGCUAAAAAGUAUCCGUAAAAAUAAGGAAAUUCCUUGGUUUGUAUGCGGAGAUUUUAAUGAGAUUAUGUAUAAUUUUGAAAAAAAAAGUUUGCUUAGAGAUGAAAAAAGAAUGGAGAUGUUCCGUGAAGCUUUAAAAUUUUGCCAGUUAGCUGAUGUGGGAUAUUCUGGCAGAUGGUUUACAUGGGAAAGAAAUAAUUUACCGAAAACAUGCAUACAAGAACGACUGGACAGGAGUGUUGCAAACGAAAACUGGGUUUCUAUGUUUCCUAUGGUAAAAGUUCAGCAACUGUUUCACUCUUUUUCUGAUCAUUGUCCCUUAUUAAUUAACACAGCUAAGGAAGAUAAACGAAGACCAAAGAGUCAUUUCAAAUUUGAAGCCUGGUGGAUCUUGGAAGAUUCUUUCCUUGAUGAAGCUAAAUAUAUAUGGGAAACAGCAUCUGGAAAUUUUCUACAGAAAUUGGAAAUUUAAAGGGAGGAAUGGAAAAUUGGGUGAGACAAGUACGGAAAAGGAAACAAGGGAAAAAAGAACUUUUAUCAGCAAAGUUAUCAAAACUGAUGGAAGCGGAAAGAGACGAUAUCAAUUUGGCUGAGAUAAUUGAUACGAAGAUUCAACUAAAUUUUGAAAUUGAAAAGGAUGAAAGAUACUGGGAACAAAGGGCAAGACAAAGUUGGCUGAGACUAGGCAACAUAAAUACAACCUUCUUUCACAGUGAAGCAACGCAGAGGAAGAGGAAAAAUAUGAUAAACAAAUUACAAAGCGAUUGCGAAGUGGAAAUGGACGAUCUUCAAGAAAUAGAGAGUAUAGCACGAUCCUAUUUUCAGAAUUUAUUCAAUACAGUGAAUCAAGUGAAUUUUGAUAAUUUGCUUACGGGAAUUAAUCGAUGUAUUUCUGAAGAAGAUAACAGAAAACUUAUAGAACCAUAUACAAAAGAAGAGGUUAGAGAGGCAUUGUUUAAUAUUCAUCCUACAAAGGCACCCGAUGAAGAUGUCUUUCCGGCUCUAUUCUAUAAAAAAUGUUGGCAUUUCAUUGGAGAGGAGAUUAUGGCAUUUUGUUUACUUCUCUUAAAUGGCAGAAUGGAGGUUAGUUCAAUUAAUUUAACGCAUAUUGUCCUUAUCCCAAAAAUUAGUAAUCCUUCCAAUAUGACACAUUUUAGGCCAAUCAAUUUAUGUAAUGUUAUUUAUAAAAUCAUAGCUAAGGCUAUUGCAAGCAGAUUUAGAGGGAUUAUUGAUAAAUGCAUCGAUAGUGCGCAAAGUGCUUUUGUGCCAGGAAGAUUAAUUUCAGACAAUGUUUUGUUGGCCUAUGAAUUAUUACACACACUGAAACAAAAAAGAAUGGGGAAUAAGGGUUUUAUGGCAGUUAAACUUGACAUGAGUAAAACAUACGACAAGAUUGAAUGGAGAUUUAUUCGGGAAAUAAUGCUGAGGAUGGGUUUUGCCGAAAAAUGGAUAGAUUCUCUCAUGAAUUGCAUGUCUACUGUUUCUGAUCAAGUUGAGGUCAAUAGUAGUAUUGGAGAAACUUUUAAUCCAAAAAGGGGACUGAGACAAGGGGAUCCAUUGAGUCCGUUUCUAUUUCUAAUAUGUGGAGAGGGAUUAUCCAAUCUCAUGAGAAUAGCUUCAAAUGAAGAAGUAUUAAAAGGAGUCAAGGCAAGAAGAAGUUGCCCACAAGUAACACACUUAUUAUUUGCAGACGACUACAUUUUAUUCGGGGAAGCGUCAAGAAAAAGAGCCACAGCAAUUAAGGAGAUCCUGAGAGAGUAUAAGCGAUGCUCGGGUCAAUGCGUGAAUUUCGCUAAAUCUACCAUUUUCUUUAGUAAAAACACGUCAGAGGAAGAAAGGAGUUCAGUUGUUCAUUUGCUGGGUUUUCAGAGUUCAGAUGAGCCUGAACGUUAUUUAGGCUUGCCAAAUAUGGUUGGAUGAAAAAAGAAACAAUCUUUUAGGGUUUUGAAAGAUAGAUUGAAGAAGCAUAUUGAGAAUUGGAGUAAUCGAUUUUUGUCGUAAGGGGGAAAAAUGGUUUUCAUAAAGGCUGUUCUUCAAGCCAUACCGACAUAUUCAAUGGCAUGUUUUUUACUCCCAAAAUCACUAUGCAAAGAUCUGGAAAGUAUUGUUGCAAAAUAUUGGUGGCAGAAAGGUCAUGUAAAAGGGGGUAUUCAUUGGUGCUCGUGGAAAAACGGAGGAAUGGGUUUUUGAAAGCUUAGUCAGUUUAAUAUCGCUUUAUUAGCCAAGCAGGAUGGCAUUUAAUAAAUUAUCCAAAUUCCCUUUUAGCAAGAGUGCUUAAAGCUAAAUAUUAUCCACAGACGUGUUAUCUAAAUGCACUGUUGGGAAACUUACCAUCUCUUACCUGGAAGAGUAUUUGGACAGCAAAAGGAAACCUUCUCAAGGGGCUAAGUUGGAGAGUGGGAAAAGGAACCGCAAUAUCUAUUUGGAAUGAUCGAUGGAUACCAGGGAUUGAACCUGAGAUAUGGCAUAACAGAGAAAGAAAUGAGGGGUUAAAUUUAGUAUCAGACCUAAUUGACAGCAUAACCAAGAUGUGAAAAGUAGAGACAAAUACAACUACCUUCCAAUGGGAUGUUGCUCAAAGAAUUCUACAGAUCCCUCUUGCAAGAAUAGACUGGGAGGAUAUGCAGGUGUGGAAAGGUGAAUAUUCUGGUGAUUUCUCAGUCUAGAGCGCCUACAAACUAUUACAAGAAGCUAGCCUGGAUCCUGGUAGUUACUUAGUACACACUGAAACUAAAGAAUUUUACAAGAAUUUAUGGAAUUUACAACUACCACAAAAAAUUUUAAUCCUUAUAUGGCGGAUUUCCUGGAACUAUAUCCCAUCCCUAUCUAAUCUGAGAUAUAAAAGAGUGACCACAAACGCCAGAUGCCCUCGUUGCCAUUCUGAGGAGGACGAUAGCCAUCACGUGUUUCGGAUGGAACUUGAAGGAGUUAGGGGAAGUAAGAUUACUCACGCGCUCACUGAAGCUGAAAGACAAGACAGAGAAACAUCAAGGGAGAUAAUACAGUUUGAUGCAGCCUUUGAUAACAGGAAUUUCAAAUCGGCGUCAGGAAUGGUUGUUCGGGAUCAAGAUGGCAUGAUUAGAGCCUCAAAGUCAACUUUGCACUCCAACAUUUCAUCCCUGUUUGUUGCAGAAGCAUACGCAUGUUUAGAGGCAACCAAGUUAGGUAUCAGCAUGGGGAUAGAAUCAGUCACGAUUAUUGGGGACUCGAAAACAAUUAUUAACAAAUGUCAAUCAACAACAAGGGACAAAUCAGUUAUCGGAGCGAUUAUUAAAGAUAAUCAGGGUAAUAGCUCUCGCUUUCAGAAAAUUGUUUUCAGAUUCAUUCAAAGAACAGAAAAUGGCCCAGCUCAUUAUCUUGCAAAUGAUGCAGUUAAAAAAGGGGAAGAGAUGUACCUGAUUGUUCUAGGAGCAAGGCGGGCACAAAAUCCAGACUGAUGAGAGACGAGGAAGACAAAUUGAAACGGUAAAAGAAAGCAAAUAAGGAGAUUUCUUGGAAGUUGUUGCUAUCUUUUUGAAAUAGACCUGACGUUCUUUUGAAAUUGAAAAGUCGAGAAGAGUAAUAGUUACAGGAUGUUUGAUGUGAUUGGGGAAAUGACGGUUGGUUUUUCUAUGUUUCUUCUACUUUUAUUAUUGUUAUUUAAUUAGGUUUUUAAAUUCUGAACAUUUCAGUCGGUUGGCUUUAUAGGAUGUUUAAUUUGCAGCCUAUGUUUUUGUUUACAGCCUAGUCCAGUAUUGUUAUGAGCUGUUUUUCUUGUGUUUCCUUUUUAUUAUAAUACCCCAGUGAAUUAUUUAAAAAAAAAUUUACUUUUCAAAAGUAUUUCUGACUCUAAAAUUUGUUUAUUUAGCUUUACUUCUUACUUGAAAAAUAUUUUUGACUUUAAAAGUACUUUUUG